CCUACGGGUGGCAGCAGUCGGGAAUUUUCCACAAUGGACGAAAGCCUGAUGGAGCCACGCCGCGUGGGUGAAGAAGGUCUUCGGAUCGUAAAACCCUGUUGUUAGAGAAGAAAGUGCGUGCGAGUAACUGUUCACGUUUCGGCGGUAUCUAACCAGACAGCGCCGGCUAACUACGUGCCAGCAGCCGCGGUAAUACGUCGGUGGCAAGCGUUAUCCGGAUUUAUUGGGCGUAAAGGGAACGCAGGCGGUCUUUUAAGUCUGAUGUGAAAGCCUUCGGCUUAACCGGAGGAGUGCAUUGGAAACUGGGAGACUUGAGUGCAGAAGAGGAGAGGGGAAUUCCAUGUGUAGCGGUGAAAUGCGUAGAUAUAUGGAAGAACACCAGUGGCGAAAGCGGCUCUCUGGGCUGUAACUGACGCUGAGGUUCGAAAGCGUGGGUAGCAAACAGGAUUAGAUACCCCAGUAGUC
rnacentral:rRNA from 1 species